AUUGAACGCUGGCGGCAUGCUUUACACAUGCAAGUCGAACGGUAACAGGCCUUCGGGUGCUGACGAGUGGCGAACGGGUGAGUAAUGCAUCGGAACGUGCCCAGAGGUGGGGGAUAACGCAGCGAAAGCUGUGCUAAUACCGCAUGUGAUCUGAGGAUGAAAGCGGGGGACCAGGCAGCAAUGUUUGGCCUCACGCCUUUGGAGCGGCCGAUGUCAGAUUAGGUAGUUGGUGGGGUAAAGGCCUACCAAGCCGACGAUCUGUAGCUGGUCUGAGAGGACGACCAGCCACACUGGGACUGAGACACGGCCCAGACUCCUACGGGAGGCAGCAGUGGGGAAUUUUGGACAAUGGGCGCAAGCCUGAUCCAGCAAUGCCGCGUGCGGGAAGAAGGCCUUCGGGUUGUAAACCGCUUUUGUACGGAACGAAAAGGCUCUGGCUAAUACCUGGGGCUGAUGACGGUACCGUAAGAAUAAGCACCGGCUAACUACGUG
rnacentral:rRNA from 1 species